rnacentral:rRNA from 1 species
AGAAGCGGGGGAUAACACCUGGAAACAGAUGCUAAUACCGCAUAACAACUUGGACCGCAUGGUCCGAGCUUGAAAGAUGGCUUCGGCUAUCACUUUUGGAUGGUCCCGCGGCGUAUUAGCUAGAUGGUGGGGUAACGGCUCACCAUGGCAAUGAUACGUAGCCGACCUGAGAGGGUAAUCGGCCACAUUGGGACUGAGACACGGCCCAAACUCCUACGGGAGGCAGCAGUAGGGAAUCUUCCACAAUGGACGAAAGUCUGAUGGAGCAACGCCGCGUGAGUGAAGAAGGGUUUCGGCUCGUAAAACUCUGUUGUUAAAGAAGAACAUAUCUGAGAGUAACUGUUCAGGUAUUGACGGUAUUUAACCAGAAAGCCACGGC